rnacentral:rRNA from 1 species
AGUGAACGCUGGCGGUAGGCCUAACACAUGCAAGUCGAACGGCAGCACAGUAAGAGCUUGCUCUUACGGGUGGCGAGUGGCGGACGGGUGAGGAAUACAUCGGAAUCUACUUUUUCGUGGGGGAUAACGUAGGGAAACUUACGCUAAUACCGCAUACGACAUACGGGUGAAAGCAGGGGAUCUUCGGACCUUGCGCGAUUGAAUGAGCCGAUGUCGGAUUAGCUAGUUGGCGGGGUAAAGGCCCACCAAGGCGACGAUCCGUAGCUGGUCUGAGAGGAUGAUCAGCCACACUGGAACUGAGACACGGCCCAGACUCCUACGGGAGGCAGCAGUGGGGAAUAUUGGACAAUGGGCGCAAGCCUGAUCCAGCCAUACCGCGUGGGUGAAGAAGGCCUUCGGGUUGUAAAGCCCUUUUGUUGGGAAAGAAAAGCAGCAGGUUAAUACCCCGCUGUUCUGACGGUACCCAAAGAAUAAGCACCGGCUAACUUCGUG